UUAACAGCUAACUCACAAGGAGAAACCCAAAGCUAAAACAACCAAAUUUUCUGUUUUAGCAAUCAAGCUAAAAGAGGCAUGACUUGAGCAACUACAAAUAUCCAUCAGUCACGUGUUCCAGUACUUUUGCUCACUUCAAACGCGGGUGGCUUCAAACAAAAGAUGCCCUCUCCUGAUUUGUUGAACACGCCUAAAUCUAAAUACCACAAAUUAAAAGCUGGAAUUCAGAAGUGUUGUUUCAUAUUCAUAUUUUGAUCUGAAACCCAAAUGUCCUCAGUAUACAAGAAAAAACAAAUGAACAGAGCUUGCCGCUCCACUACUUUUGGAGGGGACUCGAUACUGUGCCUGAACGUUUUCAGAAAAAACACAUUUUUCUAGCCAGAGAAACUUGUUUCCUUACCUCUUAGUUUCAUGUCGUUCAUAUUGUAAAACAGAAGGGAGCCCCCCGAGGACAUUUGUUGUUUGUAUGCUCCUUAAUGUGCCAGUAUAGCUGCAAACCACACCUCCAAGAAAACCCGCAGCCUAACAUUGCAUGCUUAGACGGUGUUACAUGACUCUUACAUGACUGAUGAUCAUCAGAGUUGUUUUUGAAGUCAACUGAAGCAAGUUUAAACCUCGACUUAUUACCAUUAAUUGUCAGUCAGGUGGAAAAACAAGUUUCACAUUGUGACAGACAACUCAAGUCAAAGAGAAACAGCAAACUCCUUUUCUGCUCAUUCACGUGCUUAUUGUUAGCCUUUUUGCUGUUGGUUUUCUGCUAUUUAUGUUAGCAUCUGCUAUUAAAAAAAAAAAACCCAAACAAAGAAAAUUUGAGGGUUUUUGAAUAAGAGCAUAAAGCAACGGUCUGAACUGCUUUCUUGUUUUUGACUCGGCUGCUUGGUUUCCACUCCAAAAAUUAAGAAAAGUCUGAACUAAGUACAGUCGGAGCUAGCUAGCAAAUGUGUCUGUUAGCUGGCUGGAUUUGAGGGGGGAAAAGCCACUUAAUAGCCACAAAAUAUGCAACUUUUUUCAAUCAUGGUUAGUAAGUAGAUAGCAAGCUAAUUACUUUGCUAGCUGACAGGCAAACAAA